UGAUAUGAACCGUUAUAACCGGCGAUUUCCGAAUGGGGAAACCCAGUGUGAUUCGUCACACUAUCAUUAACUGAAUCCAUAGGUUAAUGAGGCGAACCGGGGGAACUGAAACAUCUAAGUACCCCGAGGAAAAGAAAUCAACCGAGAUUCCCCCAGUAGCGGCGAGCGAACGGGGAGGAGCCCAGAGCCUGAAUCAGUGUGUGUGUUAGUGGAAGCGUCUGGAAAGGCGCGCGAUACAGGGUGACAGCCCCGUACACAAAAAUGCACAUAUUGUGAGCUCGAUGAGUAGGGCGGGACACGUGGUAUCCUGUCUGAAUAUGGGGGGACCAUCCUCCAAGGCUAAAUACUCCUGACUGACCGAUAGUGAACCAGUACCGUGAGGGAAAGGCGAAAAGAACCCCGGCGAGGGGAGUGAAAAAGAACCUGAAACCGUGUACGUACAAGCAGUGGGAGCACGCUUAGGCGUGUGACUGCGUACCUUUUGUAUAAUGGGUCAGCGACUUAUAUUCUGUAGCAAGGUUAACCGAAUAGGGGAGCCGAAGGGAAACCGAGUCUUAACUGGGCGUUAAGUUGCAGGGUAUAGACCCGAAACCCGGUGAUCUAGCCAUGGGCAGGUUGAAGGUUGGGUAACACUAACUGGAGGACCGAACCGACUAAUGUUGAAAAAUUAGCGGAUGACUUGUGGCUGGGGGUGAAAGGCCAAUCAAACCGGGAGAUAGCUGGUUCUCCCCGAAAGCUAUUUAGGUAGCGCCUCGUGAAUUCAUCUCCGGGGGUAGAGCACUGUUUCGGCAAGGGGGUCAUCCCGACUUACCAACCCGAUGCAAACUGCGAAUACCGGAGAAUGUUAUCACGGGAGACACACGGCGGGUGCUAACGUCCGUCGUGAAGAGGGAAACAACCCAGACCGCCAGCUAAGGUCCCAAAGUCAUGGUUAAGUGGGAAACGAUGUGGGAAGGCCCAGACAGCCAGGAUGUUGGCUUAGAAGCAGCCAUCAUUUAAAGAAAGCGUAAUAGCUCACUGGUCGAGUCGGCCUGCGCGGAAGAUGUAACGGGGCUAAACCAUGCACCGAAGCUGCGGCAGCGACGCUUAUGCGUUGUUGGGUAGGGGAGCGUUCUGUAAGCCUGCGAAGGUGUGCUGUGAGGCAUGCUGGAGGUAUCAGAAGUGCGAAUGCUGACAUAAGUAACGAUAAAGCGGGUGAAAAGCCCGCUCGCCGGAAGACCAAGGGUUCCUGUCCAACGUUAAUCGGGGCAGGGUGAGUCGACCCCUAAGGCGAGGCCGAAAGGCGUAGUCGAUGGGAAACAGGUUAAUAUUCCUGUACUUGGUGUUACUGCGAAGGGGGGACGGAGAAGGCUAUGUUGGCCGGGCGACGGUUGUCCCGGUUUAAGCGUGUAGGCUGGUUUUCCAGGCAAAUCCGGAAAAUCAAGGCUGAGGCGUGAUGACGAGGCACUACGGUGCUGAAGCAACAAAUGCCCUGCUUCCAGGAAAAGCCUCUAAGCAUCAGGUAACAUCAAAUCGUACCCCAAACCGACACAGGUGGUCAGGUAGAGAAUACCAAGGCGCUUGAGAGAACUCGGGUGAAGGAACUAGGCAAAAUGGUGCCGUAAC
rnacentral:rRNA from 1 species